rnacentral:rRNA from 1 species
GACGAACGCUGGCGGCGUGCCUAAUACAUGCAAGUAGAACGCAGUUGCGAACGGGUGAGUAACGCGUAGGUAACUGCCUCAUAGCGGGGGAUAACUAUUGGAAACGAUAGCUAAUACCGCAUACUGUUAGAUGGACCUGCUUUGUAUUAGCUAGUUUGUGCGGUAAAGGGUCACCAAGCCGACGGUACAUAGCCGACCUGAGAGGGUGAUCGGCCAAACCGGGACUGAGAAACGGGCCAGAAUCCUUAGGGAGGCAGCAGUAGGGAAUCUUUGGAAAUGGGCGGAAGUCUGACCGAGCAAAGCCGCGUUAGUGAAGAAGGUUUUCGGAUCGGAAAGCUCUGUUGUGAGAGAAGCGGUAACUAACAAGAAAGGGACGGCUAACUACGUGCCAGCAGCCGCGGUAAUAC